rnacentral:lncRNA from 1 species
CGUACAACUACGAUGGACGAAACUGGUUUUUCAAAAACUUUGACAGUAGCUAUUACCUUUGACACCCGAUAAUUUCUGUUCGUUUCUGGUCCGAAUCCGUAUUUCGAUAUAAUCCGCAUUCGAAUCUGGAUCCGGUCAAUACCCGCUCCGCUUCGAAUCCGAUCAAAAAAUAUGGUUAAGGAUAUGGUAGAAGCAUUAUCCGAUCCGAUCCGUUUACAUCCUAGGAGGAGGAGAUGAUGGUGGUGCAGCAGCAACGUCAGCAGAAGAGAGAGGAAAGAUUCUCAAGAGGAAUUAUGAUGAUAUGGGUUGGGCCUAUGGUCAGCUGGUUGAUCCUAACAACCUUCAGAGAGUGAGGUAUAAUUUCUGCAGUCAGAUGAGGUAUUUACCCGCUGAAGCAACACAUUGCGGCAAACUCAAAUGCAGUGAGGACCUGCUUGCGGUGCCCACAAUAAGCUAAAGAAGCUUGCUUAAAAGCUUUUGAAGAAAAGGCAACAAAGAAGCAAAAGAAGUAUGAGCACGAGAAGGCCGUGAGAGCCGCCAUAGAGCCGCCAUUUAUCUUAUAUAUGCUCAUUCUAAGACAAUAUUAUGCAUUUAUGCUUCCCGUGUGAAACACUUAACCUCAACCUCAUAUGGUAUUUCAGAUUUUCAGUUACCUAUGUGCUAUAUUUCCUAUUUUCUUAUACAUAUUAUCCAAAAACAGCCAAAUUCUUGUCAAUUAAAAAAAACCCACUUAAUCCCGGUUAAGCUGCGCUUAAGCGGCCAUUGCUCUAAGCUGUGGCCUUCCGCUUACGCUUACCGCUUAUAUUGGUGGAUAAACAAAUCUUUGAUUAAUUUCGAACAAUUUGGAUUUAGCUAGGUGAUUGUGAUCUUUAAUAAAAUUUCAUAAUGGAUUAUGAGAUUUUAGAUGGAUUUAGCUAGGUGAUUGUGAUGUUGAGAAGAUAGUCAAUGAUGUUCGAUGGAUUAUGAGAUUUUAGGUAUAAUAGGUGAACAUGCUGAUUAUUAAAUUGGUGGAUAAACAAAUCUUUAAUUAAUUAGAACAAUUUGGAUUUAGUUUGGUGAUUAUGAUUUUGAAUCAAAUUUCUCGGUGGAUUAUGAUAUUUUCGAUGGAUUUAGUUUGGUUAUUGGGAUCUUGAGGAGACAGUCAAAGAUGUGUGCUGGAUUUUGAUUUCUAUGUCUAGUAGGUGAGCAUGGUGAUUAUUAGAUUGGUGAAUAAAAAAUCCUUUAAUUGAUCUUGCACUAUUUGGGUAACUGUGAUCUUACCACUCGAGAUGAAUGUCACCCUACAGAGCCAGGAGGCUGAAUGUUCAUGAGAUACCUGGUUGUGUAAAAAGUGGUCUCUUGUUACCAGAAGAAUCGGUAGCAAAACCCGCCAAUGGAGAACCAAAAGAAGCAAACACUAAAGUUGUGUAAUCUCCGGUGUGGUUAGUGGCUCAUUUGAAAAAGUUGACAAAGAAGCACCAGACGGUCAAACUAGAAUAAGUGGGCGUUGAAGUUGUGCAAUUUUUGUUCCUCUUUGAUCCGGCUUGUCGUCCUACCCCUGUAUGCGGGUUAUGUGUCACGGACUUGAUGCAGCAUCCUACGUUCCCUUGUUCGGGUACGUUGCGGUGCCGACUGCCUUUGCUCGUGCACUACCAAUUGGUGGUGCUCGGGCGUUUUGCUAUUGCGGCACCAUCACAGGAACACGGGUUGUGGGAUCGAGACAGCACACAGAGUAACUCGUAGCCAGGCAAAGGAUGUCCAAUCGGACUGGCAUGGAGCAGAUAGUGCAUGUGGAGUGUGGUAAAAAGGGGUGAAAAUGUUGUCGGGAGCGGACUACCACAACCAUCAGCUUUUGAACAUGGAGUUGUGCAGUGAGGGAAUGAUGAUAUGGGAAGCGAGGAAGAUAGGAAGAUGGCAUUGCAGGUAGAAAGGCGUCAUUCACCCUAUGCCUUUGCAUCAGCAGUGAUGGUGAACAGUUGUGAGCAGAUCCGAUUUCUGCACGUGGAUCUACUACUCGGGAUGGCAUGACAUGGUUGUUGUGUAGUGAGGUGCCAAAAAUAGGGCGUUGUUUGGGUGAGUUUGGAGAGAUAGAAGUUGUGUUGUGCUCUAGUCUAGGCCUUCAACUGUACCAAGUGCAACUUAUUCCAAGUUUCUUUCCUCUCAAGCUUAAGCCUUUCUCUGAACCAAUCCUAAGCCCAAGAAACCGAGCCUAGCUAUUAAAGUUCUGGUAACAUGGACUUAUAUUGAUGUGCUUAAUUUAUGGAAUUAUAAGAGCACCGCUUAAGAACCGAUAACUUUUGUGUGGAAUAAAAGCCUACUUUAGAUUGUGAUUGUGUGAGUCAAUCAUGUUACAUCCUUAAGCCCCAACAUGCACCAAGUUGGCUGAAUGCCAUACGGAAGUUGUUUUCAGUAGUUAUGAUGCCAUACGGAAGUUGUUUUGAGUAGUUAUGAUUUGAAGAUGAGAUAAUCUGAUGGUGAUGUAGAAAUGAUAUUCUGGAGAUAGUUAAAGAUGUUCGGUGGAUUAUGAGAACUUAGGUCUAGUUGAGCAUGGCGAUUAUUAUAUUGGUGUAUAAACAAAUCUUUAAUUAUUCUUGGAAUUAUUUGGAAUUAGUUAGGUGAUUGUGAUCUUGAACCAAAUUUUACGGUGGAUAAAUAACUUCAAUAGUACAUAUAUAGAUCCAUAGUCGGUCAAUUUAACUUGUGGUUUAUAUUGGAUUUAGAUAGCCACGAAAUUUGAGUUUACUUCAAUCAUGGUUAUGAUGUUGGUGGGUUACUUUGUGUUAAGUUCGCACCUUUGGAGAUUGAAGUUGAAGAAAUAUAGGGUGUAGUAUGAACAACAUUGUAUAUACCGGAUUUAUAUAGGUUAGAUGAUAGUUAGCACCAUCAAUCAUGAUUAUGAAAAUUUGUGGAUUAUUAAAGCAUCUGUAAUUGGAUUAGUAGUAUAAGGAAAUAAGGAUCUUGGAGUAACACAACUUGUGUUUCCUUUAGGUCAGAAUGAGAGUUAGCUGCAUCAAUCAUGACUACGAAAAUUGGUGGAUUAUUGGAGCGCGUGGGAUUGAGGUAGUUACUUGGAUUUUAGGACUAAGAUAACUUGGGGGCACUCAGAUUUCUUUUUUUCUAGAAAGCGCAAAAGACUUUUGCGGUUCAUUGUAUUGAAAAGAAGGGGUUUAGUACAAUCCUCCUAGGAGGCAUAUUUACAAGGUGAACACAUGCACACUAGUGGACGUCCCAUGUUUGUGGCAAGAUGGCCUGGAGCCCCAAGGCGCCCGCUCUGGCCCAGAGGCCGGCCUCUUCCUUAAUCGUAGCCGCCAGGGAGGUAGCCGACGGUGUGGCACCCUCAAACACGCAUCCGUUGCGAUGCUUCCAAAUCAUCCAAGGGACGAGCAAAGCAACAGAAGCCAAUCCCUUGUGCAUAGGCUUAGGGGUGUCGUGCCGUGCAGACACCACCAGUCGUGUAGAGUGGCCUCGUUGUUGGGCAACGGGCAAGAGAGGCGCAACCAUGAGAGGAUCUCGUGCCACACUUCGCGGCUGAAAGGGCAUUCCAGGAGAAGAUGAUGAAUAGUCUCCGGAGCCUGAUCGCAAAGAGGGCAGCACUGUGGGUGUGGCAGGUUGCGCCUCGCGAGGCGGUCGGCCGUCCAGCACCUAUCAAGGUUGGCAAGCCAGUGGAAGAAGCGCACCCGAGGCGGUGCCCAGCACUUCCAGGUAAGUUUCCAAGCCUGACAUCUCGCGGAGCCGUGGAAAGUGGCGAGGUAUGCGGACUUGGCGGAGUACUCGCCGUUCGCGGUCCACUUCCAGCGAAUGUUGUCUGGUGCGUCAGUGAGGACGGUUUCGGCGAUCGCGUGCCAGAGGCGCAGGUAUUCUCCAAUCUCCAGGAUGCCAAUCAUGCCGUGGAUGUCCGCGGCCCAUUGGUUCUCGUGAAGGCCGUCCGCAACAGUUCUUGACUUGCGACGCCGUUUGGGGAUGAGAUCAAAAAGGAGAGGCGCGAUCUCUCGGAUUGCACGCCCGUUGAUCCAUCGGUCCUCCCAGAACAGGGCGCGCUGGCCAUUGCCGAUAGCCAUGGUGGUAGAGGCGAAGAAGAGCGCGCGCUCCUCGGGCGCGAAGUGCAGGUCUAGGCCGCUCCAGGCCCUGCCAACAUCGACUCGGCUGAGCCACUGCCAUCGCAUGCGAAGGGCGAGGCCAGUGCGCUCGAGGUCGUGGACGCCGAGGCCCCCAAACUGGAUAGGCCGGCAGACGCGCCGCCAGUUGACAUGACAAUUGCCGCCGUGGGCCUCGGCGUGGCCAGCCCAGAGAAAUCCUCGCUCGAUCUUCUCCAGGAGUUUGAUGGUUUUUGGCGGCGCAAGCACGAGGAGCUGAUGAAUGGGAAUCGCGCUCAAGACAGCCUUGGCGAAGGCAAGGCGGCCGGCUUUGUUCAUAAGCCAGGCCUUCCAGGAGGGCAGCUUCCCAGCGACCUUAUCGACGACGGGUUGCAGUUGGGCAGCCGUGGGGCGACGCAGUGUGAGCGGGAUGCCCAAGUAAGUAAGCGGGAAGUCGACGAUGGGGCAGCCCAGGUGCGCGACAAUAUGAGCAGCGUCCUUGGUGUCGCAGCGGAUGAGGGCCGCAACGCUCUUCUGGAAGUUCACGUGCAGGCCCGAGGCGCGCCCAAAGAGCUGCAGAAUCUCCUUCACCGCCGCGAUAUCGUCCGGCGACGGGUGGCACAGAAGAAUUACGUCGUCGGCGUAGAGGGAUAUGGCGGGGAUGGCGCGGCGCGGAUGCAGCUGCUGCAUGACUCGGAGCUCGACCGCGCGAUGGAAGAGCCUGCCCAGCGUAUCCACGGCAAGGACGAAGAGCUGUGGGGAGACGGGGUCACCUUGGCGCAGUCCACGGCGGUGCCAAAUCGCUGGUCCGGGGUUGCCGUUGAGGAGAACCUUGGUGCUGGCCGACGACAGGAGAAGGGCGAUCCAACCAAGGAAGCGGUUGCCGAAGCCAUGGCAUCGCAGCACCUCGAAUAGGAAGGGCCACGAGACGGAGUCGAAAGCCCGUGCUAAGUCAAGCUUCAGCAGCACUCGAGGGGCACCCAGCUGAUGCAAUAGCCGUGCGGAUUGACGCACUAGGAUGAAGUUGUCGUGAAGACUUCGCCCGGGGAUGAACGCGUUUUGGACGUUGCUGACGAGGUUGUUGAGCCUGGGGGCUAGGCGGAUCGAAAGCAGCUUGGCCAGGACCUUGGCGACGAUGUGAAUUAGGCUUAUGGGCCUAUAAUCCCCCAGGCCAGUGGCCUCGGCGCGCUUGGGGAGGAGCGUGAUCAGCGCCUGGUUAAGGCAGCUAAACCCUCGUCCACGCAGCGCGUAAAUCUGGUCGAAGACGCAUCGGAGGUCAUGCUUGAUGAUCUGCCAGCAGGAUCGGAGGAACUCCGCAGUGAAGCCGUCGAGGCCGGGCGCCUUGCGGGACGGCAUGCUUUUGAUGGCCUGCCAAAUCUCAUCCUCGCUGAAUGGCGCAUCAAGAUCUUCCAGGUUUGAGGGCUCGAUGAAUUGCGACAGGUUAAUAGUGCAGUCACGCUGCAUGUCUGUCCUAAUUCGGCUGUCAAAGUGCUCGAAAGUGGCCGCGGCCAGCUUAGUAGCUUGCAUGUGCCCAUAUGGAUAUGAUCAUGGAUACGAUACAUGUGGAUCGGAGUUGUUAGACCUAGGUGAUUUUGUUGUUCCCCCCAAAGAAUGUUAUCAGUACAAAAUGACCAUAGGAGGAUGAUUUGGAUUAAUUCAAAGAGAUGGCGAUUUUGAUGGUAUGUGAUAACCUUGUGUGAGUUGUGCCAUGUGGGCCUCUUAAUAGUUGGUCUCAGAGAAAUGGUGUUUAAGUGCGUUAUGGUGAACUUUUACCCUCACACCCGAACCCUAUGCACCUUAAGUCUCACCAAUCCAUGACUUGGUCGAAUCGCGACGACAGAGUUGUAUGUGAAGGAUGUGGCCGUUGACCUAAUCCUUGCCCACCUAGCUAUUUGAUGAACAUCAUGAAUAACAUGUUUGUGAGUUCUUCGACAAGUUUCUCGUCAUCAUUGGUGACCUCUUUGUCUAUACCCCCUCGGAGGAAAAUCAUUAGCAACACCUAAGAAAGAUUUUUAUGUGGUUUUAGUUUGGUGAUUGUGAUAUUGAGGAGAUAGUCAAGGAUAUUAUGAGAUUUUAUGUUUAGUAAGUGAGCAUGUGAUUAUUAUGUUGGUGGAUAAACACAUUUUUAAUUAAUCUUGGAACAAUUUCUAUUUAGUUAGGUGAUUGUGAUCUUGAAUCGAAUUUCAUGGUGAAUUUUGAGAUUUUGGUUGAAUAUACUUUGAUGAUUGUGAUCUUGAGAUAGUCAAAGAUUUUUUCGGUGGAUAUGAGAUUUUAGGUCUAGUAGGUGACCGUGGUGAUUAUUAGAUUGGUGGAUAAACAUAUAUUUGAUUAAUCUUACAACAAUUUCUUAGUUAGGCAACUAUGGUUGAAUAUACUUUGGUGAUUGUGAUCUUGAGGAAACAGUCAAUGUUUUUGGUGCAUUAUGAGUUUUUAGGUAUAGUCGGUGACCGUGGUGAUUAUUAGUUUGGUGGAUACACAUAUAUUUAAUUAAUCUUACAUUGAUCUGUUAGUGAUGUGAAUAUGAUUUUGAACCAAAUUUCACGAUGGAUUAUGUGAUUUUUGGUGGAUCUAGUUAGGUGAUUGUCUCCUUGAAAAGAUACUUCAAGAUGUUCGAUGGAUUAUGAGAUUUUUGGUCUAAUUAGUGAGCAUAGUGAUUAUUAUAUUGGUGGAUAAACAAAUCUUCGAUCAAUUUUAAACAAUUUGGAUUUAGCUAGGUGAUUGUGAUCUUUUAACAAAAUUUCAUAGUGGAUUAUGAGAUUUUAGAUGGAUUUAGCUAGGUGAUUGUGAUGUUGAGAAAGAUUGUCAAUGAUGUUCGGUGGAUUAUAAGAUUUUAGGUCUAAUAGGUGAGCAUCAUGAUUAUUACAUUGGUGGAUAAACAAAUCUUUAAUUAAGUGGAACAAUUUGGAUUUAGUUUGGUGAUUAUGAUUUUGAAUCAAAUUUCUCGGUGGAUUAUGAUAUUUAUGUGGAUUUAGUCUGGUUAUUGGGAUCUUGAGGAGAUGGUCAAAGAUGAGUAGUGGAUGUUGAUUUUUAUGUCUAGUACGUGAGCAUGGUGAUUAUUAGAUUGGUGAAUAAACAUUUCUUUAAUUGAUCUUUCACUAAUUUGGGUAGCUGUGAUCUUGAACCACUCAAGAUGAAUGUCACCCUACAGAGCGAUAUAGGUUGAAUGUUCAUGAGAUACCUGGUUGUGUAAAAAGUGGUCUCUUGUUACCAAAGGAAUCGGUAGCAAAACCCAUCGAUGGAGAACCAAAAGAAGCAGCCAUUAGACACUAAACUCGUGUAAUCUUCUGUGUGGUUAGGGGCUCAUUUGAAGAGGUUGACAAAGAAGUACUAGACGGUGAAACUAGAAUGAGUGGGCGUUGAAGUUGUGCAAUUUUCGUUCCUUGUUGAUCCGGCUUGGCGUCCUUCCCUUGUAUGCGGGUUAUGUGUCACGGGCUUGACGUAGGAUCCUACGUUCCCUUGUUGGGGGUCGUUGGCCCGGGCGACAGGUAGCGUCAUGCUCACAUCUUGUGUGUUAGACAUUGCGGUGCCGACUGCCUUUGCUCCUGCAUCGCCGAUAGGUGGUGCUUGGGCGUUCGGCUAUGGCGGCGCCCAUCAAGGAAACACGGGUUGUGGGAUCGAGGCAGCACACAAAGCAACCCGUAGCCAGGCAAAGGAUGUCCAAUCGGACUGGAAUGGAGCGGAGAGUGCAUGAGGGGUGUGGUGAAAGGGGUCAAAAGAAUGACGACAAGGGAAGCGAGGAAGGCAGCUGCGAUGGUGAUCAGUUGUGGGCAGAUCCAAUUUUUGCACGUGGAUCUACUACUCAGGAUAGCAUGACAUGGUUGUUGUGGAGUGAGGUGCCACAAAUAUUGUGUUGUUUGGAUGAGUUUGGAGAGAUAGAAGUUGGUUGUGCUCUAGUCUACGCCUUCAACUGUACUAAGUGCAACUUAUUCCAAGUUUCUGUGCUCUCAAGCUUAAGCCUUUCUUUCUUUGAACCAGUCGUAAGCCCAAGAAACUGAGCCUAGCUAUUAAAGUUCUGAUAACAUGGACUUAUAUUGAUGUGCUUAAUUUACGGAAUUAUGAGAGCACCGCAUAAGAACGAAUAACUUUUGCGGCGAAUAAAGGCAAACUUUAGAUUGUGAUUGUGAGUCAAUCAUGUUACAUCCUUAAGCCCCAACAAGCACCAAGUUGGCUGGUGCCAUACGGAAGUUGUUUUGAGUAUUUAUGAUUGGAAGAUGAGAUAAUCUGAUGGUGUUGUAGAAAUGAUAUUCUGGAGAUAGUUAAAGAUGUUCGGUGGAUUAUGAGAACUUAGGUAUAGUUGAGCAUCGCGAUUAUUAUAUUGGUGUAUAAACAGAUCUUUAAUUAUUCUUGGAAUAAUUUGGAUUUAGUUAGGUGAUUGUGAUCUUGAACCAAAUUUUACGGUGGAUAAAUAACUUCAGUAGUACAUAUAUAGAUCCAUAGUCGGUCCAUUUAACUUGUGGUUUAUAUUGGAUUUAGAUAGCCACGAAAUUUGAGUUUACUUCAAUCAUGGUUAUGAUGUUGGUGGGUUGCUUUGUGUUAAGUUCGCACCUUUGGAGAUUUAAGUUGAAGAAAUAUAGGAUGUAGUAUGAACAACAUUAUAUAUACCGAAUUUAUAUAGGUUAGAUGAUAGUUAGCACCAUCAAUCAUGAUUAUGAAAAUUUGUGGAUUAUUAAAUCUUCUGUGAUUGGAUUAGUAGUAUAAGGAAACAAGGAUCUUGGAGUAACACAACUUGUGUCUCCUUUAGGUCGGAGUGAGAGUUAGCUGCAUCAAUCAUGAUUACGAAAAUUGGUGGAUUAUUGGAGCGCGUGGGAUUGAGGUAGUUACUUGGAUUUUAGGACUAAGAUAACUUUGGGGCACUCAGAUUUCUGAUGUUUUGAUAUAAGCUUAGUAGCUUGCAUGUGCCCAUAUGGAUAUGAUCAUGGAUACGAN